GAUGAACGCUGGCGGCGUGCCUAAUACAUGCAAGUCGAGCGAACAGAUGAGGAGCUUGCUCCUCUGACGUUAGCGGCGGACGGGUGAGUAACACGUGGAUAACCUACCUAUAAGACUGGGAUAACUUCGGGAAACCGGAGCUAAUACCGGAUAAUAUAUUGAACCGCAUGGUUCAAUAGUGAAAGACGGUUUUGCUGUCACUUAUAGAUGGAUCCGCGCCGCAUUAGCUAGUUGGUAAGGUAACGGCUUACCAAGGCAACGAUGCGUAGCCGACCUGAGAGGGUGAUCGGCCACACUGGAACUGAGACACGGUCCAGACUCCUACGGGAGGCAGCAGUAGGGAAUUUUCCGCAAUGGGCGAAAGCCUGACGGAGCAACGCCGCGUGAGUGAUGAAGGUCUUCGGAUCGUAAAACUCUGUUAUUAGGGAAGAACAAAUGUGUAAGUAACUAUGCACGUCUUGACGGUACCUAAUCAGAAAGCCACGGCUAACUACGU
rnacentral:rRNA from 1 species